rnacentral:rRNA from 1 species
AGAGUUUGAUCAUGGCUCAGGACGAACGCUGGCGGCAUGCCUAAUACAUGCAAGUCGAACGAUGAAUCUCUCUGCUUGCAGAGAGAGGAAGAGUGGCGAACGGGUGAGUAACACGUGAGGAACUUGCCCAUAAGAGGGGGAUAACAUCCGGAAACGGGUGCUAAUACCGCAUACGUAACACAUUCGCAUGAACGUGUUAUUAAAGGUGGCUCUGCUACCGCUUAUGGAUAGCCUCGCGGUGCAUUAGCUAGUUGGUGGGGUAACGGCCUACCAAGGCGAUGAUGCAUAGCCGACUUGAGAGGGUGAUCGGCCACACUGGGACUGAGACACGGCCCAGACUCCUACGGGAGGCAGCAGUAGGGAAUCUUCCACAAUGGGUGCAAACCUGAUGGAGCAAUGCCGCGUGAGUGAAGAAGGACUUCGGUUCGUAAAGCUCUGUUGUUAGAGAAGAACAAGGAUAGGAGUAACUGUCUAUCCCUUGACGGUACCUAACCAGAAAGUCACGGCUAACUACGUGCCAGCAGCCGCGGCAAUACGUAGGUGACAAGCGUUGUCCGGAUUUAUUGGGCGUAAAGCGAGUGCAGGCGGUUCUUUAAGUCUGAUGUGAAAGCCCACGGCUCAACCGUGGAAUCGCAUUGGAAACUGGAGAACUUGAAUAUAGAAGAGGAAAGUGGAAUUCCAAGUGUAGCGGUGGAAUGCGUAGAUAUUUGGAGGAACACCAGUGGCGAAGGCGAC